rnacentral:rRNA from 1 species
UACGUAGGGCGCAAGCGUUAUCCGGAAUUAUUGGGCGUAAAGAGCUCGUAGGCGGUUUGUCGCGUCUGCCGUGAAAGUCCGGGGCUCAACUCCGGAUCUGCGGUGGGUACGGGCAGACUAGAGUGAUGUAGGGAGACUGGAAUUCCUGGUGUAGCGGUGAAAUGCGCAGAUAUCAGGAGGAACACCGAUGGCGAAGGCAGGUCUCUGGGCAUUAACUGACGCUGAGGAGCGAAAGCAUGGGAGCGAACAGG